AAUGGGCCAAAAAUCGCACAGUGUAAGCCCAGCAUUAAUCGAGAUAAUACAACACAUAGACUUCGUCAAACAAAGAGAACCAGGAAUGAGGAAGACUGCAGUCCCAACAGUAAUGCAACCUCACCUAAAAAAGUUAGAUGCCUUGUUGAUAGCUAUGGUUGUAUAAAUUGGCAACCAGUUGAACUUCCUUAGGGGGAAACGCCAGCUUCUUUAGAGGAAAAGAAGCACAUCUUGUUAACAAUUUUUAAUUCAGAAGGACCUGGAGCUGUGGAGAGACCUGAUGUGGAUGACUUCAUGUGCCUCACAUAUAUUUCUCAGCGGCAGCUUAUCAACAGUUGUCCCUCACUUUCAGUAGCUGAAAUUCAGGAGCAGUGGCCAUUCUUGUUUACUCGGAAAGGUCUUUCGAACCACUUUUACAAACUCACAGGCAUCGAUAUCAGUGAGCGCUUAAGUCAGGCCCUCAUAACCAAAGGCAGGAUUAUUAACUAUUUCUCCAGCCAGAAGCUCAAAUGGAACCUUGGUAUAAGGACACUCAUCCAGCAGAUAGAAAGUGAGGGAGUUUUGACCAACAACAAGGUUGGCACAGCAGCCAUACUUCUCAUGAUGAAGUAUUACAAGGAAGAUGAAGACUCCCUCUUUGUCUUAGUAGAUGAAACAUCUACCAGGAUGUCCCUUGAAGCAAAGAGCAACCUGCCAAUCACUCCAAGGCUGAUUAUGCUUGGACAAAGUCCAAUGACCGCCACCUGCUGGAUGGUGAGUGCAGAGGGGCGUGUAAUUGUUGAGCUGGACAAAGAGAACACCUUUGCUGAUGCGAUGUCAGUCUUCUUUGGUUCAUUCUAUGUAUUGAACCUGGAAUACCAGGAGUCAGCGUGUGCAACAUUGGAACUAAUUCAGAGAUGAUCCAUGGCCCAUGCUUUCUGGACAUUUACACAAGACGAACAACAAUGAAGACAAGCUCUCUUUCCAUCUUGCAAGACGCUGUCUCUGUCCAAUAGGUUUUUUGAGUGCAACAGUUUUGAUUUUUUUUUUCCUUCUUUUACCCAUUUGUUAAAAAUUAUUUCAGCUACUUACACUUUAAUUGUCACAUGUAUUGGCUCACCCUACAAAUCAAUGAACUCAGUCCACAAAGCAAGAUCAGGAUUCAGUGCAGGUCAGUCAAGUUCCUUCACACCACACAUGCUCAUCCAUGUCCUUGUGGACCCUGCUUUGUGCAUUGAUUUGGUAGUGUGAGCCAGUAUUUUGGAUAAAGUGUAUAUAAAGGCAGAAGUGUGGGGCUUGAUAUUAUAUUCAUUACAAUUCAGUUUAUUUGUAUGGUGCCAACAAAAUGAAUGCCAAGGCACUUCACAUUGUAGGUUUAAGACCCUACAAAAUAUAACUAAGAAAACCCAGCAUAUGUUGGCUUUUAUGAUAUGAAUAUGACAUAAUAUCGUUAUUGUUUGUACAACCAUCUGAGAAAAUAAUGGAUUACAUGGUUUAGUAAAAACAAGUGCUUCCUCAAUGAAAAUAUGUUUUCAGUUCUUUUCAGUUUUUGAUUUUGGAAAUGUGUAUUUCAGCAGGGAAAAAUCAGAACAGAAAUAAAAAGUGGUGUGAAGCACAUGAA